ACGGCGAGUGAAGCGGCAAAAGCUCAAAUUUGAAAUCUGGUCCCCUUUGGGGGCCCGAGUUGUAAUUUGAAGAGGAUGAUUUUGGCGAGGCGCCUUCCGAGUGCCCUGGAACGGGACGCCACAGAGGGUGAGAGCCCCGUAUGGUCGGACGCCGAGCUUAUGUAAAUCUCCUUCUACGAGUCGAGUAGUUUGGGAAUGCUGCUCAAAAUGGGAGGUAAACCCCUUCUAAAGCUAAAUACCGGCCAGAGACCGAUAGCGCACAAGUAGAGUGAUCGAAAGAUGAAAAGCACUUUGAAAAGAGAGUUAAACAGCACGUGAAAUUGUUGAAAGGGAAGCGCUUGCGACCAGACUUGCGCCCGUCGGAUCAACCGUCCCUCGUGGGCGGCGCACUCCGGCGGGCUCAGGCCAGCAUCAGUUUCCCGGGGGGGAGAAAGGCGGUUGGAAUGUAGCUCUUCGGAGUGUUAUAGACUUCCGCGUAAUACCCCCUGGGGGACUGAGGACCGCGC
rnacentral:rRNA from 1 species